rnacentral:rRNA from 1 species
UACGAAGGGGGCUAGCGUUGUUCGGAAUUACUGGGCGUAAAGCGCACGUAGGCGGGUAUUUAAGUCAGGGGUGAAAUCCCAGAGCUCAACUCUGGAACUGCCUUUGAUACUGGGUAUCUUGAGUAUGGAAGAGGUAAGUGGAAUUGCGAGUGUAGAGGUGAAAUUCGUAGAUAUUCGCAGGAACACCAGUGGCGAAGGCGGCUUACUGGUCCAUAACUGACGCUGAGGUGCGAAAGCGUGGGGAGCAAACAGG